AAAUUUUUCAUUGAAGCUACACAAACUUGGGUUGCAUGUUUAUCUAUUUUUCAUCCUCAAUUUAGAAAGGUAUAUGUUGUUUUUCCAUUUAAGAGCAUUGUUUUACAAUAACUCUAUUUAAAAGUUAGGGUUUUUUCUAUUCAUCAGUUAAUAUUACUUCUUUUCACAGAUUUGAUUAUAUGGGUCAUAUUAUUGCUCCUUUUCAUCAUGAAGGUCGCUUUUAAAAAGGUUGAUAUAUGUCGAAAUUGUCCAACAUUUUGGUUGAAAUAGAUAAGGACCAUAUUUCUUUGACCGAACUGAAAUCUUAUGCAAACAACGUUGGGUAUGAUGAAGUUAAAGCUUUCCAUGUUGAAGACCCUGCGACCUAUAGAUUUGUCGAGUUGGAAAGUGACAACUAGUUAUAUAAAUGUGUUGAAAAAUUAAGGAGUGAUUCAAUUUUUAAGUUACUUUUAAAACAUGUGACUGUUGAAGGAGGGGGGUCCCUGGUAGCACUAUUUUGGGAUCAUUUUCUGGUGAAAAAAAUAAUGAAGAAUUGGGGUAUUGCUCUAGUGCUUCACAUCUAUAAAAGUUUAUAAAUGAGGCCUUAAAUGAGUCAGCUGGAUCUAAACAAGUACCUUAGGAAGAAAAUAAUGACUUUAAUGAGUUUGGAGAGGAAAACUUCGAUUGUAUUCUGGAUGACGAUGAUAGUGAAAUUGGUAAAGGAUUGAGAAGUUUUACGAAAAAUCUAAUACAACAAAAAAAGUGAAGUUGCAAAUCCAAAAAAGAGAGAAAAAAAUCUUUCAUGUUUCAAGAGGUUGAGCUCAAAGAAGAUAGCAUAGAUAAAGGGUUUGAAGAUAUUUUCAAGAAUAAAACAGUCAGGUAUGGUGGUAGAUUGGGUGAUAAUGAAGAGUCCAUUGGUUUGUCAGAUGAAUCAAGUGAAAAUAGUGAUGAUGAGUUAAAUGUUUUAGCACAACCAGGUGUUGAUUUAUCUUCAAGAAGAAAAAGCAAAAAAUUGAGGUAUGAUGAUUCUUUUGCCAUUUUUUUUGAAUUGAGUAUGAUAUUUGAUAAUACAAAGGAUUUUGGAAAAGAUUUAGAUAAUUAUGUUGUCCAAGAGAAGGUUUAAUUGAAGAUAAAACCCAAUGAACCUCAAAAAAUAAGGGUAAGAUGUGUAAGAAAGUGUCAUUGAAAAUUUUUGCUAGUUUAGAUAAAAGAACCAAAAAUUUUUCUAUAAAGAAAUAUUAACCUGUUCAUAAAUGUAUUACAAUGAACUAGAAUAAGUUAUGCUCUGCUAAAUAUAUGGAAACGAAGAUUACAGAUAGAAUAAUAUCUUAUCCUGAUAUUGGAGUUUAUAAGCUUUAAGAGAUACUAAAAAUAGAAUGGGAAUUGCAUGUGAGGAGAUGAAUAUGUUACAGGGAAAAACUUAAUGUUAUUAGAAAGUUCAUGAGUAACUGGAAGCUUGAGUUUUCAAAGCUAUUUGACCAUGAAAAUAUGUUUAAGAGUACAAAUAUAGGGACUUCUCAUUGGGUGAGAACUAAUAAUGAAACUGUCUUAGGCAAACACUUAUUCAAAUACUUCUAUGUUUGUUUUCCUGCAUUGAAGAAUGGAUGGCUAGAAUAUUGUAGGAAGAUCAUAAGGUUGGAUGGACGCUUUCUAACGGGUGGUUGUAGAGGAGAAUUUUUAGUGGCAGUUGGAAAAAAUGGAAACCAACAAAUGUAUCUAAUAUCACUGGCAGUGUAAAUAAAGAAACUUAACACUCUUGGAGUUAUCUCAUUCAAGAUUUACAACUUGGUGAUGGAGACUGGAUAAUAAUCAUGUUUGAUAUGCAAAAGGUAUGAUGUCUUUUAAUCUUUCUCUGAUGGCUUACGUGCAUCCACCACUAUACUAAGGACCAGGUCGCUAACCAGUUUCUUCAGCUAAUAAUUGAAAAGGUUCUAUAUGAUUUCACCACAGUAAUGAGAACCUGGUCCUUUACUAGGUUCAAUGACUAAGAACAAAAGUAAAGAAGAAAAGUUGUUUUACGUGGAAACCUCCUUGCAAAAGGGAGUAAAAACACGACCUACCCAAAUAGAAUUUCUCAGCCACUUCACUAAAACAAGAGCAACUUUUAGAUUACAACUUCUUGCAACCUAGGAAUUAAAAUCUUAAUCCCUUAUCCUUACAAUAACUCUAUUGUAAGCACUCUCUACAAUAACUCUAGUGCAUAGACAACCAAAGCUAACUCUAGCCCAUACCGGUACUACCACAGCUGACGCUAGCCUCCAACACUAUAAUGGCUAACUCUAGCCCAUAACUUAGAUCUACAAGAGAAGACAUAAAAUAAAAUACCUAUAUAAGCUUCUCAAAAGAGGAGUAGGUUUACAAUGUUAGAGAAAAAUACAAUGACUCAAUAACUUAGACCUAAAGACAUAUUCCGUUGUAGCAAAUUAUUCCUUUGAUUGUUAGAGCUUUGUCUUGAUGGAACUUUAUGAUGGCUUUGUAAGAAGAUGAGAAAUCUUGAUUGUGCAAAAGCUAGAUUUUCCUCCCACAUAAUGAUCUUUACAUAUGGAGAAAAUGAAAGGGAAAGCCUAGAAUAUUUCUCAAUGGUUUGGAUUAGAAAGCUGUUAUUUUGCCACUAACCACCAGAAAAUGCUGCUAAAACAACCGAAGAACGAAGCUCUUCAGAAGUACAAUUGAUCACAUACUUACGCUCUUUAGGGACCAGGUUCUUACACAAAGUUAGUCAACUAUCAAGAGCACAAGUUCCAUAUACCAGAUUGGUACUUCUAUGUCCCCAUACCACCUAAAAUAUAUAUGUUGAACCAGGAGAAAUCCCUUUCAGAUGUUUACCUGUUAACAAAGUUAUGAGUACAUCCAUAAUAUGAACCUAGUCCCUACAAAACAGUAUUCCUCUGAGGACAGGAAUCUCACAUAGUUGACUCUAAGAAAUGGAAAAAAUUCUAGAAUCAACACAUUUGGUGAGGACCAGAUUCUCUCAUUCUCAAUCAUCAAAACCACAUGUACAUUAUGCUCUAUUAAUCCUAUUUUUUAAAGCCCUGAAUCUUAUCUACAUGUGUUGUUUUUAGCAAUUUUUAAGAUGUUUUUGUAAGUGUCUAAGUCGUUUAAGUUAUUUUUAAGCCAUUUUUGUCAUUUUUAUGCUGUUUCUAUAAGUUUUUAUGUUGAUUUUUAAGCUGUCAAUUUUCUAGGUUGUUUCUACAAUUUUAAGCUGCUUUUAUCAGUUUUUAAGAUGUUUCAGUCAUUUUAAAGCUAUUUUUGUUAUUUUUUACGCUACUUUUAAGCUUUCAAUAUUUUGUAUUAUUUGUAGUAGCUUUUAGGCUGUUUUUGAUUAAUAUUUAGGUAUUUCAGUCAUUUUAAGCUAUUUUUUUUGUCAUUUUUAUGUUGGUUCUAAUAAAUGUUUUUGCUAUUCUUUUUUACAGCUUUUAAGAUAUUUCAGUCAUUUUGUAUGUUGUUUCUUCGAUAUUAAAGUUGUUUUUUUAAAUUUUUUUAAGUUGUUCUUUAAGCUGACGAUUUUCAUCUAUUAUUUUUUUUUGGAUCUGGAAUCAACUGUUAAGGAAUUACUUCCUAGAGUUGAAAGGAGAAUGUGUGCAAGACAUAUUUGGGCAAAUUGGCUAAAGGUCUAGAAAGGUGAAGAAAAGAGAAAAUCAAUUUGAAAAUGUGCCAAGGUUAGUUUUGAGGUAAAAUUGAAAGAGGACUUUCAAUAUUUGGGCACACUUUGUAAUAAGAAAACAUAUGAGUCAUGCUUAUAUUUGAUAAAGAAUAUUGGUGUAGGGCUAAUUUUAGUAGAAGAACCAAGUGUGAUGCAAUGGAAAUAAUAUGUGCAAAAUAUUUAAUUCUUAGAUUGUUGGUCCUAGACAAAAGUCUGUAAUUAGUAUGCUUGAUGUUAUUAGGAAUAAAAUAAUGGAUAGGCAUGGGGAUAUGAUCAAGUUUGUAGAUACUUGGAUCAGUCAUAUUUCACCCAUGGCAAGGCUAAUUUUAGAAGACAAUAUAGAGAUUGGUAGGAAACUAAAGGUGAAUUGGAAUCAUGACACUAGAUUUGAUAUUCAUGAAGGAGAGUUUAGGCACAUAGUUGAUAUGGUUAAGAAAACAUGUACCUAUAGGUUGUGGAAAUUGAGGGGUAUAUGUAACGACCUGAGACUACACUUUAGUCGUCACACGGUGCUUAUGACCACGAAAGACCACAAGAUAACCUAUGACUGAUAUCUACUGUAAGCAAUAAAUAAUAAUACUGUAACUAAUGCAAAAUUUGGCUGAAUUGCCAUAAGGUUCAAAAUAUCUGAAAUACUGAUAAAUCAUAGCAUCUAAAAUAACAAUCUGUAAAAUUAAAUACAAUAUGAAAAUCUAGUCUGGAAGACUCUAAUCUGAACUGUCUAAAAGUGAAGUUGAUGGGACAAGCCCCCAACUAACUCUGACUACUAAGCUACUGAUAAACUAUAAUACUAAAAUAAAAGCAUAUCCUCGAUAGAUGAGGACUCAUUACUAAAUCUUCUACUGAUGGCUAAAUCAGGCUAAAUGCGAUCAAGAACCUGAGCAUUAGAAUGAAUGAUAUGAAACAUCAUAGCACAAAGAAUGGACAUGCAGUCAGUACAUGGGAAUGUAAUGGUAUGCUAGGAUAAGGCUGAAUGGAAUGGUUCAUAUGCAUGAACAAUAACUAACUGAAUGAUAUAGAGUAACUGAAUAUGAGAGUACAUGGAUAAUUGAAACUACUAUAGAUACUAAGUAUGUAACACUGUGCAUAUAUACAUACUAUAACUGAACUUUUCUGAAGCUAAGUACUGAGUUCUGAUAACUGAGUAAUUGAUAUCUGAAGUUACUGAUAACUAAUUUACUAAUACUAAUUAACUUUAUCUGACAGUCCUGACUCUAUAGAACUGACCUGAGUUCUAUUCUGAAGACAGAAACUAAAACCGUGGAAGGUAAUCAUCUAACCGACAUACCCCAAAUAAGAUAAUUUAAUUGAGUUGGGGUCCAAUCUGUAACCCCAAUUGGAAGGGUGUUAGCACCAUACCACAAGUACUAACAACUAUUGUGGAGUCAGUCCUAACUAACGGGUGACCCUUGAGAUCAGUCCUAAACUAGCAGGUGAUCCCUGAGUAUGCCAGUCCUAAAUAACGGGUGACAUCUCAUAACCUAUGUUGGCUACGUAGUUAUUGAACUUAAGGAUUGCUUCUAGGGACCCAGUCCUAACUAACGAGUGAGACCCCAUCCCUAGGCUCACUCAGUCCUGAAUCCUACUCCCAACUAAAAGACACUAAACUGAGUAUACUAAACUGGAGUGGACUGAUACAUAGUUUACUGAGUUUUCUUGCGUUUUGUAACUGACUGAGUUCUACUGAUCGUGACAGGACUGAUACUAUUUUAUAACUGAAACUGGAUCUAGGUAAACAGCUAAAUUAUCGAGUAUUAAAUACCCUCAAAACUCAAUAGAAUAAAAGAAGGACAUAACAUGAUUCAUAAAUACAUAACCAUAAUUGCUUGCUAACAAUGCACUUAUUUAGAUAUUUUGUCAAAAACUUGAUAUACUUGAACUUGUGCAUGAAUGGUAUCACAUAAUGACUUGUUAUGAUUCUACUAUUUACUUCACAUAGGCAAUUUAGCAAACACUUGUAGGGCAUAAGCUUCUACAUGAUUAGGAAUACAAAAUGAUCUGUCAUGAUUCUACUAUUUACUUCACAUAGGCAAUUUAGCAGACACUUGUAGGGCAUAGAUUAGUCCACACGGUAAUGUCCAACACAUGAUCAUCAUAAAUACAAUACUCAAUUUCAAAUUCAAGGGUUUAGCAAGGAAUUCAUAUAACUCGUCACAUAAACUAUUUUAAUUUCAUGGAAAUUUUUAAUAAAUCAUGGAUUGAAACCCAAACAACAUCAUGAACAUGAGUACAAUCAAAUUCAAACAUAGAAUUCAUGAAAUCCAAGACUUGUACUUUGAAAAAGGAUUCUUGGGCUCCAUGGAAGGUAUAGAUCCAUGGAUGAACAUCUAACACACCUUAAUUGUGAGUUUCUUGAAGUUCUUGGUGAAUUCUUGUGCUUUGUUCUUGAUCUCUUGAGCACUAGUGUUUUGCUAGUUUGAGUGAGAAUGAUUUCGAUUUGGAAAUAAAUUGAAUAAUGAGUAGCUAAGGAUGUUUAAGGGAUUAAAUCCCAUAUCUGGGCAUAAUAAAAUCGUGGGAAAAGACUGUUUUAACCCUGGGUGCCCUUUUAAUUUUUCAUAAAAAUUUUUUGAACUGGGCCCUUGGUGCGACAUGGAGCUAUCAUUGGAAAUUAACAUCUGAGAAUUUGGCCUGUGGCGUGACGCGGCACAAUCACGGUCCCUUACUAGAAACUGACAACUGGGAAUUGGGACAUUGGCGCGACGCAGUGCUAUCACAACGGAACUUUGGAAAAGGACAAUUGUGAACUGAACCUAUAGUGCGACACACCAAUAUUGCGAUGAAGCACUGGAAAGUGACAAUUUCCAUUUGGCUUGGCUCCGCGAUGUGCUGACAUUUCAGGUGGUACACUGUCUUUCAAAAAUGGCUCUAACUCUUCACCCGGGUAUCGGAUUUGGGCGAAUUUUAUAUUGUUGGAAAGCUAAUUGAAUUUCCUACACAAUGGAAGACUCUAAAAUGAAAAAUUCUGAGUAUUUAAAAAUUUUAUAUGGGAUUCCUCAUGUACUAAGACUUUAAUUAAGCUUGGGAAAUACAAGGUAUUAUAAUAUCUCCCCCUUGGGAACAUUCAUCCUUGAAUAAGAUUGAUUAAGCUGAGAAACACUGAUAGACUGAGUUUACAUGCUGAACAUGUACACUAAAACAUGACUACAUGAAUAAACUACUGAUAGGAUGAGUUCUCAAACAGAACAUGCAAAUCAGAUGCAUGAGUACAUGACUGAACUGAUUCAUGAAUGCACGACUGAAUAUACAACGGUAAAGGAUACCAAGUUUAUAACCAUAACUGGACAUGGAACUGAGUAGAAAUAAGUAAGAUUGUUUCCUUAAGUAGAAAAUACUAAUGAACCUAAGAUUAUUUAUUGAAUAUGUAUGAACAAAAAUAUGAGAACAUGACUGAGUUUGAAAUGUGAUACAUGAGAUGAAUAUCGUGAGCUGAACUUAUUUCUUGGAUAUAUGUCAUUCGACUGAGAUUGGAACUUGAGGGUCAACUUAUGAGUACCCGUUACUCUAAACUAGAUUUGUUACACGAAGAAAAACUGAUAGGUUUAGGACCUGAAAGCUCAGGAGUUAUAGUGUAUAUCUCCCUUGGGAUAUUAUGACCCUUAAAGAAUGCUGACUUGGAUGGGAUACCAAGGAAAGGCUAAGACGGUGCAUAGGGAACCUAUAAACUAAAUCAUUACUGAAUAUCUGAGAUCUGAAGCUGAGACAUGAUACAUAAACUGGGCUGAAUUCAUAACUACUAGGAUGCUCUAUCUCGGAAGAGUCAUAUUCACGAAACUUCGGAUAGUACGACUGGGUGAAAAGAUGGAAACCAUGAGAACUUGUCUGCCUGACUGCUAAACUAAUUCCUGGCUUUACAGACUAACUCAUACUGAAAAUUAAUACUAAAUUAGAGCAUCUCUUGACACUCUUUCUAUAAAGUUUUACUGACUUUAGGGAGAAAGGAAAUCUUGGCAUGGCCUGAUUGAGACAUAAGAAAUCACAACGUGGCUAAAAUUCUGUAAUAUAAGGCAAGGCCUACGAAACAUCACCUAAAAUAGAGUGACUAAGCCUUAUGUACUGCCACUACAAAUUUUUAAGCUUAAAUAUAUUUCUUGAAUGCUCUCUCAAAUAUAACCUCCAACUUAAUAAAAUUGUUCACUUGAGACUACUAAAAAUAUUCACAUGGGCAGUGAGCAUGAAUGCGUAAACAUACUAACUUAUUUGAUUAAGUAGAUGACUGAUAGCUGAAUACUGGUCAUGUAAGAUUGAAUUAUAUUUAACCUGAAUAACUGGAUUGAAAAUAUAAAGUACUAUGCCUAUGAGGUAAGGACUGACUUAGGAGCGUGAGGUAACUGAGCUUGAAUUCAUAGGAAUGGUAUUAUCUAGGAAUGCAAGAUAAAGAGUAUAACAUGAUUCUAAAAUGCUGAGAUACUGACAACUGAAUAACUUGUAACUGUACGCUUUGGUCAAGCAAACCUGAAACUGGACUGAGUUUUGUACUGAAUGCUAAACUGAGACUGUGACUGAGUUCUGAUAUCUACAUGAUGGGGACGGGGACAAAUUGAGGAUCUAAAUGUAAAAUCACAUUUUGCACUUUCUAAACUUCUUAUCUCAGGAAGAAUUCUGAUUUUUUCCCUUAAUAACUAAAUACAACCUCUUGCUAGUUAUUCACCUGCACACUAACAUGACUUUCAAGCCUAUCUUCAUAACUAUAGCCUCGUGUAAAACUAGCAUGAAAUUGCCUUUUCUUAACAUGAAGAAUUUAUUCUCUCCCUUCUAAGUAACUUCUCAUCACUAUAUCAUUUCAUAAGAAGAAUUCACUGAAAGUUAAAACAUGGGGACUUAAAGCAUGAAUGGACUCUAUACUGAUCUUGACACUUAAUUAGGGCCUGAGGAAUAGAACAUAAACAUGCUGGACUUUAUCAAGAGAUCUAAACUAAGGAUAUACAUGACGAUAUCUAAAUUUAGCUGAUCAUUUGGAGUAUAGCAUAAGUCAUGGAAACUAAGCACACUGUAAGGCAUGCAUACAUGAGUCAUGAGCUGCAUGACUUGAGUUUGGAGUCUCUGUAUUUACGAAACAUGAUUCAUAACACUGAGGAAACUGGAACUAUUUAUACUAGAAACUAUAAGCGUACAUGAUUUUCUAAAAUGCGCACGAAUAGAAGCUAUGAUCAUAGAGCUGCCAUGUACUGCGUGAGUAGAUAUGAUGAUAGCUGAAGUGCAGAACUUUGCAUUGAGGUAAGGAUGGGUUGGGCAUCAACCUCUCCCACUGCUUCUUUACACAUACUGACAUUACUACUAAAAUCUAAAAGUCUAACUUGGUUACUUGUUAGACCAUCUCCCCCUUAGCUUAAAGUCAUUAUUCUAAGUUCGUGACCACUUAAUAAACUCUAAAACGAACUAAAACCACUUUACUCUAAAGCCCGACAUACAAUAAUACUCAGAAACACUAAACUCAUCCUAAAGGACUACACUUGAUAAUAUAAGGUCCACUGCUAGUACUUCCUUCUGACACAAAUUCUUAGCUUUUUAUUGCCCCAAAAAUUAUCAUAUAGCAACCUCAACACUGGCUAACUUUGAAUUCUUAACUUCUCUUUCUACUAGCUCAAUCUAGAGAUUCAAACUUAAAUCAAAGAAAACUGAGGUACUACCCCUUCAUUCAAGGAUUGGUUCAUCAAGAAAUUGAAAUGGAAUGACUCUAUUACUGAACUCAACUAAAGAUAUUUUUUGAAAUACUGUAACUAAGCGAUUUAUGUAUACUUUUCUGGCUGGAAUAGAUUUACCUACUGAGGUAAGCACUAAGAAAGGUUCUGUUAAGAUUUCUAGUCUGGCUUAAAGUUGACUACUAUACAAGGAGUUACAAAAGACAGAGAAUCUCUUGGAUCUAAUAAAGCAUGAAUUUGUAAAUAGAAGAUCUAUAAUGUACCAGUAAUCACAUUACAAGAAAUUUCCUGAUCUUGUCGGGACUGAAGGGCAUAAAACUUGUUCUGGCAUUGACCACUAGUGGUACUGGAAGUGGCACCCUACUGGUUAGGGCUACCAAACUAAGCUGAAGUUCAGUUAUACUGACCUUAAGAAUCUGACCGAGGACAAUUUUUGAUUCUAUUGCCUAGCUUUCCACACCCAAAAGAUACGCCACUACCAGCCCUACACACACCCUGAUGAUUUCUACCAUAUUUAUGGCAAAGUGGAUGGGUACGACCUCUUUUCAUACUACCAUUAAACUUAGAUUCUGACGUGCUAUCUCGACUGACAUUUCUAAACUUUAGCACUGGAGCACUAGCUACAGAAGGAUUUGGGGCUAAGAAUUUCUAAUGGAAAUGGAAACGGUUACCACCCUCUAACCUUGGCCUAAAACCACUUGUUCUGACUCUCUUAUUCUUCCUAUUUUUCUUCCUACCCUUCUCCCCCUUGCUCUGCUGAGUAUGAACCCUAAGCCUAGAUAUGACAACAGCCUGUAGGUUGUUCUGAGCAACUACUAAAUUGGCUAAAGUAGUGAAAGUAGUUCUGAAUUCUGCAUAGGAGACAUGUUCGUAUAGGGGAUCUUCCUGAACUUAUAGAGGUGCUGACUAAUUUCCUGUUCUUCUUCUGUUAGUCCUUUUAGGAGUCAUGUUUUGUAACUGAAAGAAAGAAAAGGAUUAUACUGAGAAUUUAUCUUGAGCUUAUGCUCACUCGCACGACAUGAAUAUUGAAAAAAGAAAAACUUUUCCUAAAAUAUCUCAUAGCCUCCUGUCCAUAAGUGUGGCAUGCUACACAACCAUGCCCAAGACUCUACUUGAUGCGGCUUUCAGAUUCCUUUGGACUCCGUUGAACCUUAGGCUCUGAUACCAAGUUUGUAACGACCCGAGACUACCCCUAGUCAUCACAUGGUGCUUAUGACCCUAAAGGACCAUAAGCUAACCCAUGAUUGAUAUCUGCUGUGAGCACUAAAUAAUAAUAAUACUAUAACUAGUGCUGAAUUUGGCUGAAUUUCCACAAGGUUCAAAACAUUUGAAAUACUGAUAAAUCAUAACAUCUAAAAUAACAAUCCAUAAAACUGAAUACUAUCUGAAAAUCUAGUCUGAAAGCCUUUAAUUUGAAUUGCCUGAAAGUGGAGUUGAUGGGACAAGCCCCUAACUAACUUUGACUACUGAGCUACUAAUAAACUAAAAUACAAAAAUAAAAGCAAAUCCUCAAUAGAUGAGGAAUCACUACUAAAUCAUCUACUACUGGCUGAAUCUGGCUAAAUGAGGUUAGGAACCUAAGCGUCCCAACCUUUGAUAUGAAAGAUAAUAGCGUAAGAAAAAAGUAUGGGAUCAAUACAUGGGAAUAUACUGGUAUGCUAAAGGAUGUAAGACUGUAUGCAAGGGUUCAUAUGUGUGAACAAUAACUGAAUGAUAUAGAGUAACUGAAUAUGAGAGUACAUGGAUAACUGAAACUACUGUAAAUACUGAGCAUGUAAUACUAUGCAUAUAUGUAUACUAUAACUUAGCUUUUCUGAAGGUAAGUACUGAGUUCUCAUAACUGAGGAAACUGAUAUCUGAAGUUACUGAUAACUAAUUUAUUGAUACUGAUUGACUGUAUCUGGCAGUCCUGACUCUGUAGAACUAAACUGAGUUCUAUACCAAAGAUUAAAACUGAUACUGUGGGAGGUAAUCAUCUAACCGAUAUACCCCAAAUAAGAUAAGAUAACUGAGUUGGGGUCCAAUCUGUGACCCCAAUUGGAAGGGUGUUAGCACCGUGACAUGGGUACUAACAACUACUGUGGAGUUAGUCCUAACUGGCGGGUGACCCCUAAGAUCAGUCCUAAACUAGCAGGUGAUCCUUGAGUAUGCCAGUCCUACCUAAAGGGUGACAUCUCAUAACCCACGUUGGCUACAUAGUUCUUGAACUUGGGGAUUGCUUCUACGGACCCAGUCCUAAUUAAAAGGUGAGUCCCCAUCCCUAUGAUCACUCGGUGCUGAAUUCUACUUCCAACUGAUAGACACUAAACUAAGUAUACUAAACUGGACUGGACUGGUAUAUAGUUUACUAAGUUUUCCUGAGUUUUGUAACUGACUGAGUUCUACUGAUCGUGACAGGACCAAUACAAUUCUGUAACUGACACUGGCUCUAGGUACACAACUAAAUUUUUGGGUAUUAAAUACCUCUAGGACUCGAUAACAUAAAAGAAAGACAUAACAUGAUUCAUAAAUGCAUAACCAUAAUUGCUUGCUAACAAUGAACUUAUUUAGAUAUUUUGUCAAACACUUGAUAUACUUGAACUUGUGCAUGAAUAGGAUCACAUAAUGACUUGUUAUGAUUCUACUAUUUACUUCACAUAGGCAAUUUAGCAAACACUUGUAGGGCAUAAGCUUUUACAUGAUUGGGAACACAUAAUGACCUAUCAUGAUUUUACUAUUUACUUCAUAUACGUAAUUUUGCAAAAACUUGUAGGGAAUAGAUUAGUCCACAUGCCAAUGUCCAAUACAUUAACAUCAUGAAUACAAUACUCAAUUUCAAAUUCAAGGGUUUAGCAUGCAAUUCAUAUAUCUCAUCACAUAAACUAUUUUAAUUUCAUGGAAACUUAUAUUAAAUCAUGGAUUAAAACCCAAACAAAAUCAUGAACAUGACAAUUAAAUACAAACAUAGAAUUCAUAUAAUCUAAAACUUGUAUUUUGAAAAAGGGUUCUUGGGCUCCAUGGAAGAUAAGGAUCCAUGGAUGAACAUCUAACAUACCUUAAUUGUGAGUUUCUUGAAGUUCUUGGUGAAUCUUUGAGAUUUGGGUUUUGCUAGUUUGAGAGAGAAUGCUUUUAAUUUGGUGAUGAAUUGAAUAAUGAGUAGCUAAGGACGUUUUUAGGGAUUAAAUCCCAUAUAUGGGAAUAAUAAACUCAUGGAAAAAGACUAUCUUAACCCUGAGCAUCCUUUUAAUUUUGCUUAGAAAUUUUAUGAACUGGGCCUUUGGAGCGACACGACGCUAUCACGCCGUAUCAAUGGAAAAUAACAUAUUAGAAUUUGGCCUAUGGCACGAUGCGGCACAAUCGCGGUCCCUGGAAACUGACAACUGCGAACUGGGACAUCGGUUCGACGCGAUGGUAUCACGACGGAACUCUGUAAAAGGACAAUUGUGAACUGAGCCUAUGGUGCGAUGCACCAAUAUCGCGAUGGAGCAAUGGAAAGUGACAAUUUUCAUUUGGCUUGGCUCCGCGAUGCGCUGUCGUUCCAGGUGGUACACUGUCUUACAAAAAUGAGUCUAACUCUUCACUUGGGUAUCAAAUUUUGGCGAAUUUUAUAUCGUUGGAAAGCUAAUUGAAUUUCCUACACAAUGGAAGUAAACUAAAAAAUGCUGAGUAUUUCAAAAUAUUUAUAUGGAAUUACUCAUGUACUAAUACUUAAAUUAAGAUAGGGAAAUACGAGGUAUUACUGUAUACCUUGCCGACAAGUAGUUUGUGCGUUGUAUCACAUUGCACAUGAAUUAAAAAAUUAUGUCGAGCAGUUGUACAGGAAAGACACAUUCUUACGUGCUAAUAAGUACUUCAUACAACCUAUCUCUAACAUGAUAAUAUGGCACGAAAGUAAUAAUCCAUUAGUUGAGCCACCUGAAGUUAAGCUAAUUCUUGGAAGACCUCCCAGAUGUAGAAGAAAAGAUAAAUAUAAAUCAAGGAAGAAAAAUGGGGGAAAGCAUAAAAAAAUGGAGUAAAAGUGACAGGUUCCAAAUGUCAUCAAGUUGGGCACAACAAAAGAGGCUGCAAAUCAGUGGUAAGUAUUUUGGUGUUUCGUUGUCAAAUUAAUCAUUCUUACUCUUCUAACUUUUUCUUAAUGUAUAGCUCCCUCAACAGCUCACUCAAUAGCCUUCUAAACAGCCCUCUCAACAUCCUUCCCAACCAAGGUCAAUGAGUCAGCCUAGCACUCAACAUUCAUCUCUAUGUCCUGAAACUUCAAGAGUUAAGGAAGUGAAAAGUAGGCAAGCUCUUUAACUAUGAGGGAAACAUCUUUAGAUGGAAGGAAAAGUACAAGAGAUGUAGGAUUUGGUGUAUACAGAGACACACAAUCUGGAAGACAAGUCAUUAAUGUAUGUAAUUCAUAACUUAAAUUCCUUGCAUAUUUAUUUAUGAAUCGUAUGUAAUGUAUUUUUGAAUAUUGCAGCCCGACAGAUCGAGCGAAAGAGUUAUUUCGAGUGGGAUGACACUAAAGGAUACAUCACUGACAAAUGUUGAUUUAGGAUUCAAGCCACCUUGUUUGAAAUGGAAAGGAAAAGACGCUAUGACUGGAAAUCAACUUCAACAAAUUCAACAACGUAUAAAGUUGCAAACCAAAUCCUAGAGUCGUGGUGUUAGAUUGGACAGUUUCUUUUUUAUUUUUGAUGUAUGUUUUGUGAAUGAUAAAUUCAAGUCCACUGUAAAUUCAAG
rnacentral:lncRNA from 1 species